rnacentral:tRNA from 2 species
GGAGGCUUAGCUCAGUUGGUAGAGCAGCUGACUCUUAAUCAGCGGGUCGCGGGUUCGAGCCCCGCAGCCUCUA